GAUGGGGUCUCUGGAGAAUCCCAGAUUUACUGGGUGCCGAAGGGGCAAGGUUUCGCACCACUAAGCGGACCGAAACUCUCAGGCAAAAGGACAGAGCAUCAUAU
rfam:Eggerthella sp. CAG:1427 genomic scaffold, scf64